GGUAGGAUGGCUGAGUAAGCAUUAGACUGUAAAUCUAAAUACAGAGGGUGACCCCUCUUCCUAUCA
rnacentral:tRNA from 1 species